rnacentral:rRNA from 1 species
AGAGUUUGAUCAUGGCUCAGAUUGAACGCUGGCGGCAGGCCUAACACAUGCAAGUCGAACGGUAACAGGAAGAAGCUUGCUUCUUUGCUGACGAGUGGCGGACGGGUGAGUAAUGUCUGGGAAACUGCCUGAUGGAGGGGGAUAACUACUGGAAACGGUAGCUAAUACCGCAUAACGUCGCAAGACCAAAGAGGGGGACCUUCGGGCCUCUUGCCAUCGGAUGUGCCCAGAUGGGAUUAGCUAGUAGGUGGGGUAACGGCUCACCUAGGCGACGAUCCCUAGCUGGUCUGAGAGGAUGACCAGCCACACUGGAACUGAGACACGGUCCAGACUCCUACGGGAGGCAGCAGUGGGGAAUAUUGCACAAUGGGCGCAAGCCUGAUGCAGCCAUGCCGCGUGUAUGAAGAAGGCCUUCGGGUUGUAAAGUACUUUCAGCGGGGAGGAAGGGAGUAAAGUUAAUACCUUUGCUCAUUGACGUUACCCGCAGAAGAAGCACCGGCUAACUCCGUGCCAGCAGCCGCGGUAAUACGGAGGGUGCAAGCGUUAAUCGGAAUUACUGGGCGUAAAGCGCACGCAGGCGGUUUGUUAAGUCAGAUGUGAAAUCCCCGGGCUCAACCUGGGAACUGCAUCUGAUACUGGCAAGCUUGAGUCUCGUAGAGGGGGGUAGAAUUCCAGGUGUAGCGGUGAAAUGCGUAGAGAUCUGGAGGAAUACCGGUGGCGAAGGCGGCCCCCUGGACGAAGACUGACGCUCAGGUGCGAAAGCGUGGGGAGCAAACAGGAUUAGAUACCCUGGUAGUCCACGCCGUAAACGAUGCCGACUUGGAGGUUGUGCCCUUGAGGCGUGGCUUCCGGAGCUAACGCGUUAAGUCGACCGCCUGGGGAGUACGGCCGCAAGGUUAAAACUCAAAUGAAUUGACGGGGGCCCGCACAAGCGGUGGAGCAUGUGGUUUAAUUCGAUGCAACGCGAAGAACCUUACCUGGUCUUGACAUCCACGGAAGUUUUCAGAGAUGAGAAUGUGCCUUCGGGAACCGUGAGACAGGUGCUGCAUGGCUGUCGUCAGCUCGUGUUGUGAAAUGUUGGGUUAAGUCCCGCAACGAGCGCAACCCUUAUCCUUUGUUGCCAGCGGUCCGGCCGGGAACUCAAAGGAGACUGCCAGUGAUAAACUGGAGGAAGGUGGGGAUGACGUCAAGUCAUCAUGGCCCUUACGACCAGGGCUACACACGUGCUACAAUGGCGCAUACAAAGAGAAGCGACCUCGCGAGAGCAAGCGGACCUCAUAAAGUGCGUCGUAGUCCGGAUUGGAGUCUGCAACUCGGCUCCAUGAAGUCGGAAUCGCUAGUAAUCGUGGAUCAGAAUGCCACGGUGAAUACGUUCCCGGGCCUUGUACACACCGCCCGUCACACCAUGGGAGUGGGUUGCAAAAGAAGUAGGUAGCUUAACCUUCGGGAGGGCGCUUACCACUUUGUGAUUCAUGACUGGGGUGAAGUCGUAACAAGGUAACCGUAGGGGAACCUGCGGUUG